rnacentral:rRNA from 1 species
UACGGGGGGGGGGCAAGCGUUGUUCGGAAUACUGGGCGUAAAGGGCUCGUAGGUGGCCAACUAAGUCAGACGUGAAAUCCCUCGGCUUAACCGGGGAACUGCGUCUGAUACUGGAUGGCUUGAGUUUGGGAGAGGGAUGCGGAAUUCCAGGUGUAGCGGUGAAAUGCGUAGAUAUCUGGAGGAACACCGGUGGCGAAGGCGGCAUCCUGGACCAAUACUGACACUGAGGAGCGAAAGCCAGGGGAGCAAACGGGG